rnacentral:rRNA from 1 species
AUUGAACGCUGGCGGCAGGCCUAACACAUGCAAGUCGACGUAAGUGGCGGACGGGUGAGUAUUACGUGAGUAACCUGCCCUCAACUGUGGGAUAAGCCUGGGAAACUGGGUCUAAUACUGCAUAGUUGGGGAUGGGCUCGCGGCCUAUCAGCUUGUUGGUGGGGUGAUGGCCUACCAAGGCGGUGACGGGUAGCCGGCCUGGGAGGGUGGUCGGGCACAUUGGGACGGAGGUACGGCCCAGACUCCUACGGGAGGCAGCAGUGGGGGAUAUUGCACAAUGGGCGCAAGCCUGAUGCAGCGACGCCGCGUGAGGGAUGAAGGCUUUCGGGUUGUAAAGUACUUUCAGCGAGGAGGCGUUACUCGCAGAAGAAGCACCGGCUAACUCCGUGCCAGCAGCCGCGGUAAUUC